UACGGAGGGGACUAGCGUUGUUCGGAAUUACUGGGCGUAAAGCGCACGUAGGCGGAUUUGUAAGUUAGGGGUGAAAUCCCGGGGCUCAACCUCGGAACUGCCUUUGAUACUGCAAAUCUCGAGUCCGGAAGAGGUGAGUGGAAUUCCUAGUGUAGAGGUGAAAUUCGUAGAUAUCGGGAGGAACACCAGUGGCGAAGGCGGCGACCUGGGCCAAUAUUGACGCUGAGGUGCGAAAGCGUGGGGAGCAAACAGG
rnacentral:rRNA from 1 species